rnacentral:rRNA from 1 species
CGGACGGGUGAGUAACGCGUGAGAAUCUACCCUUAGGAUGGAGACAACAGUUGGAAACGACUGCUAAUACCCGAUGUGCCGAGAGGUAAAACUUAUAUGGCCUGAGGAAGAGCUCGCGUCUGAUUAGCUAGUUGGUAGUGUAAGGGACUACCAAGGCGACGAUCAGUAGCUGGUCUGAGAGGAUGAUCAGCCACACUGGGACUGAGACACGGCCCAGACUCCUACGGGAGGCAGCAGUGGGGAAUUUUCCGCAAUGGGCGAAAGCCUGACGGAGCAAGACCGCGUGAGGGAGGAAGGCCUACUGGUUGUAAACCUCUUUUGAUAGGGAAGAACACAAUGACGGUACCUAUCGAAUCAGCCUCGGCUAACUCCGUGCCAGCAGCCGCGGUAAUACGGAGGAGGCAAGCGUUAUCCGGAAUUAUUGGGCGUAAAGCGUCCGUAGGUGGUUAUCCAAGUCAGUUGUUAAAGCGUAGAGCUUAACUCUAUAAGGGCAAUUGAAACUGGGUGGCUAGAGUGCGAUAGGGGCAAGGGGAAUUCCCAGUGUAGCGGUGAAAUGCGUAGAUAUUGGGAAGAUCAUCGGUGGCGA